GGAGGCGUUCUGGACGCGGGUUCGAUUCCCGCCACCUCCACCUAAGAGUUUCGGAGAGUUCUUAGGUGGGGGUGUACUGGCUUCGACAGGGCGGGCAAAGGUGCGCAGGCAACUCGUCAGGCGAUCGACGUUAAUGAAGCAAAUCUCCAAACGCCAACGAUGAGCGUUUCGCAAUCGCCGCUUAAGGCUUUUGCCGAGGCUGCUUGAGCCUUGUUACCAAAGAAAAGCCGGU
rnacentral:tmRNA from 1 species